UACGGAGGGUGCAAGCGUUGUCCGGAUUCAUUGGGUUUAAAGGGUGCGCAGGCGGGCGAUUAAGUCAGGGGUGAAAGACGGUUGCUCAACAAUCGCAGUGCCUUGAUACUGUUGUCUUGGUGGACCUUGAGGUAGGCGGAAUGGGUGGUGUAGCGGUGAAAUGCAUAGAUACCACCCAGAACUCCGAUUGCGAAGGCAGCCUACUGGAGGUUCACCGACGCUCAGGCACGAAAAGCGUGGGGAUCAAACAGG
rnacentral:rRNA from 1 species